rnacentral:rRNA from 1 species
CAAAUCUUGGCGGUGGAUCACUCGGUUCGUGGAUCGAUGAAGAACGCAGCCAGCUGCGAUAAAUAGUGCGAAUUGCAGACACAUUGAGCACUAAAAUUUCGAACGCACAUUGCGCCAUCGGGUUCAUUCCCGCUGGCACGUCUGGCUGAGGGUCGAA